rnacentral:misc_RNA from 1 species
GUGUGAGAUCUUGCGCAGCUGAGAGGACAAACAUCGGUAGCAGCGCCCCUCUUCCGGCACAUACAUGGAUAUACAUGCACAGGUGCCUUCUCACAUACAGCACACGACAGCACGCCGCUGCUUGCCUUCUUCCUUCCCCUCUACUCUAACGGGACGUGCACCCACCACCCACGGCCACAGCGGCCGUCGCACGCACCACCAUCACCGAUUCACAGAUACGUCUGAGCACACUGUGACCCGAGCGAGCGUGUUCUGACUGGGAGCCCUUCUCUGCGCCUCCUCCCUCGCACGUGCAGCGUAGAAACGGCAAGCGUGCUCACGCCGGCACAGGGAUACACAGCCACAGACGUGCUCCCCAACUACCUUUUAUCCCUUUCCCCACUCGCGCAUCACUCCCUUGGUUCACAGCUGCUCUUCUUCACAGACACGGUCGCCUUGCAGAAAUCAAGGUUUGGCCUCUCAAUUUUUUACGUUUACAUUCUUGCGGAGGUUUUGUUUCGCCUGCCGCUAUUUCAACUGUCUCCGCGCUUGCCUCCCUGUUUGUGUGCGCGCGUAAUAGCGAUUCGGUGUUAUCCUAGGACUUCUUCACGGGUGCCGGAAGAGCGGUAUGUGUGGUGGUGGCCCCGUCACGGCCAUGCUCGUGUCACGCGGUUUCUUGGGGUUGCGUGGCGUACAGCCCAUGCGUCAUCACUGCUCGCGACCCGCGCUGCAUGGAUCGGGUCUUCGGCGGCUCAGUCUCGGCUUAGGUGCGAGCCCCGUAGGGUCGACUGCGACAACACCGCGUCUCGCAUGCCCUUGCGUGAGCACGCGUCGCCGUAUGCACGCCUCAUGCGGAAGUCUUGACGGAGCUGCCGGCCGGGGAAGGUCGAUGGCUGUCGCUGAUGCAUUGAUCUCCCGGUGGAGCCGGCGCAGCGGUGCAUCUUUGGCAUGGCCGUCCCAUCUGCCGGGCGGCAGCGGCGGCGAGCCGGCUUCCUCUUUCACCGCCGAAGCCGUUGUGGGUGUGUUGCCCAGUGCCACGGAUGCCGGUCGUCACGCGGUAGAUGGACGGACCACUUCGUUGCAGCCCGUCUUCAACGCGUCUGUGGCGCCACCGUCCAUCGAGGAACUGUUUGCCGAAGUGGACGAGGAUGACACGGAAACCUCCGCUGCUGUUACAGACUUCCUAGCCGAGGAGAAGGUGCCUGGGGAGCUGAAGGAUGGCCGGCGACAUGGCGCCGCUCUGCUUUCGCGGACAGACUCUUACACUUUCGUAGCUUCCGCCUCGCCGGAGGUGACGAAGUUCGACGACACCGGUAAGGCUGCUCGCUCACCUUGCACGCCUGCGAGUGCAACGGUGGAAGCGGCUCUUCUGGAGGCUCUGCUUCAAGAGCAACUCUCUCAGGACCUGAACGGCAGCGUAGAUGACACGGCUGAGGAGGACUCAGACGGGCUAGAUGAGGUGGCGCCAAGGGCAGCCGACGCACACGCGAUCAUCAACGCAUCCUGUGCGCUCCCUCAGGGACAGUACCGUGCCCCUGACCUGCAGCGGGCCGCACAUAUGGAAACAGCAGGCGGUGACGCCGACGGCGAGGCGGACGUCAAGGCAGACUCCAUCGAGGACGCUGUGGAUGACGAAGAGUCUAUGGAGUCUGUGCUGGAAGAGGAGGCGGAGCGCAUGUAUCGCGCUGCCUUGACAAACAUGACGAAUGGUGAGGACACCGCUGCCCAAGGUAAGGCAAGGCACGGACUAUUCGGCGACUACACGUUCUUCUCGAAGGAGGCGGUGGCCUCCGCGGUAGAGACUCUGUCGACGAGUGAAAGCGCCGACGCUGCCGGUGCGACUUCAGCGUUUGCCUUCUCCGACGGCAUAGCCGAUGGCGCCUCAACGUCCGCCGUGGAGUUCGAUGAUGACGCGGCGCGGGAGGCUGAGAUGGAGUCUGUGGGCGAUGUCAUGGCAACCUCAGGCGCUGCCGCCGUUGCAGCUGGGAAAGCACAAAAGGGUUAGCGAGGAGGUGACAGGCGGUGGUGGCGUUGUGACAGCAUAGAAGGCGCAAGGUAGAAGCGAGCUGUUAGCCCUUUAUACACGUAGAGUGGGACGAGGCAAGGAUGCACACUGUCAGCCGGCCGCGAAUCGGCCAGCAGCGACGCUCUGCUCAGCCAUUCCUUUGCUAUCCACUUGGCUGCUCGCACCUACCCAAGCGACAGAGAGGUGAGGCGAGAAUGCUGCUGCCUCCCGGCGCCACCGCUGCGUUUCAGAUACACAGGUGGCUAAGCUCUUCAUCGACAGCGCGCUUGUGCUGCUCUCGGUUUUUUUCUUCAUCUCGUUUUCUUUUCCCCUGAUGAUGCCGGCCGCCUCACCGCGGUAUCACACAGGGCCCAGCUUCCCUCUCCGACUCUUUGUGAGGAAGCCAAGUAGCCUCCACCGCCUGCUCUCGGGUACGGCCGGCGGCGUCUCGGUGCCGACGGAGAGGUUGGGGCGGGCGCCGUGCUGAAAAGAGACUUGUAGCCAUGGUCAAGCUUGACCUAGCUCACGGCGGAUCUUAUCAUGAGCUCAACGAGCAUGCACACCCGCCAACGGUUGCUCUGCUUUUUGCCGCGUUGCGGUGAUGCCGAGCGUGAUCCAGGGCCUUGCCUUUGCUCUAUGGAGUGAAAGAACGGUUGACUGAGUGACACCGAACGGUGUUCGUAGGCCUGCCUCCUCGGCUAAUGCUUGCUACAUGUGCUCGGUGUAGCAUGAGGAAAUAGGCACGGUGACGGCGUGCGAAAAAUGCUUUCUGUGCGCCGGCACAUGCGUCUCCGCGGGGCCCCUUCCGCUUGACACACCGACUCCUGCCCAGGGGCGUGCGGGCUGAGGAGAGGGCGGAGUGCCCCUGCCGCCACAGACUCAUGGCAUCGCUCCACCUGUCGCUGCGCGUGCGGGCACGACUCCGCGACAGCGACACCGUGCUUAAGCAGACCCCGCCAUGCCACAAGGCGAGCACGGUGCGCACGCGCUGUCAAGCAGAGCUGGCAUGGCGCAUCGCACCCAGGCAAGGCAUCAAGAGGGGCGCAGAGCAGGAUUGCCCCACGGGCAAGACGUGGAGCGAUGCACACGAAUCAGCUCCAUAGUGCAUGCGCGCGAAGCAUGCAGCAUCUCCUGCAUCUGACCGGUGCGGGCUGAUGAGGCGCAGAUGCCAAAGGCAUCGUGAAGGCACCCUCGAGCUCCACCACCGGGUCCUCCAGACUCCCACGUGCAGAGCCUCCACACCAUAUUAUGGGAUGCCGCCGCUUGAAGCGACUGAGGGGACGAAGCGUGGCACACAGGCAGGGGGGGCGUAGGACCUCGGGGGGGGGCCUGGCCCUGAGGCUGGCGGACUUCGUCCCUGCGCUCAUCCGGCAUGCGCCCUGGCCACCCCCCGUUGCCCGCACGGCAGACGCUACUGCCUCGGCUCUAGACGACGACCCUGGAUGUCGCUCGCUUUAGAUGAGGGCAUGCAACCCACACGCGUCUCCAUGUGGAGCCGAUCGCGCCGCACGCAUGCAGGGAAGGGACGAGGAAGGAGAGGGAGGCCCCGCUAGGCGCACGGCUUCGAUUCGACGGCAGACGACGAGGGAGGCAGCCUGCAGCGCAGCAGGCGCAGGUGCACUGUGGCUGUGUAAUGCGCACGUCUUGUUGGCUUGUUCAUGGUAGAAUGGACGCGCUGAAACAUACCCCCAAAAUGCUUUCUAUCAGCCAGCCCGUUCUCUGUUAUCUGCCCUCGUUACGUCCACCAGCGGGUGGCUUGGCUGAGCCCCAUGUGCCUGCCUGGGUGCCUUUUGCUUUUUUUUUUGUGGUUUCGCACACCUGUCUCUGCUCGAAUUCCUUCUCGACAGAGUUGCCGAUCGUAGCACAU